GGUUAGCAUUUCUGCAUAUUUGUGCCGAAGCUGUUCGCACAUACAUUAGCGCUAGACUAGAUCAGGGGAUAUAUGCACGCCCCUGCCGCAAGAUCUACACUGCAGAAGGGACCCAAGGUAGAGGAACUGCGGAUACGAUACCCUAGGAUAUGCAUCGCAUCUGCAUUGUUGCCGGGAAAGCGUUCCCACGGCCGCCUCUCUCUGGGGCAGCACGUGGGCCGCAGGCGAGGCGCUGCUAAGCUGGGCUUUCCAUCCACUCACCAUUGUCUUCAUUCAACUCGAGGAAGUCCAUAGCAUAUUGACAGAAUCUGCAAUGGCAGAGGCUUCAGUCAGUAAAUGAUUAAAACAUUCAA